GACGAACGCUGGCGGCGUGCUUAACACAUGCAAGUCGAACGGAAAGGCCCUGCUUUUGUGGGGUGCUCGAGUGGCGAACGGGUGAGUAACACGUGAGUAACCUGCCCUUGACUUUGGGAUAACUUCAGGAAACUGGGGCUAAUACCGGAUAGGAGCUCCUGCUGCAUGGUGGGGGUUGGAAAGUUUCGGCGGUUGGGGAUGGACUCGCGGCUUAUCAGCUUGUUGGUGGGGUAGUGGCUUACCAAGGCUUUGACGGGUAGCCGGCCUGAGAGGGUGACCGGCCACAUUGGGACUGAGGUACGGCCCAGACUCCUACGGGAGGCAGCAGUGCGGAAUAUUGCACAAUGGGCGGAAGCCUGAUGCAGCAACGCCGCGUGCGGGAUGACGGCCUUCGGGUUGUAAACCGCUUUCGCCUGUGACGAGGCGUGAGUGACGGUAAUGGGUAAAGAAGCACCGGCUAACUACGUG
rnacentral:rRNA from 1 species